rnacentral:lncRNA from 1 species
GAGGGGGGCCGGUGGCGGCGCGGGAGGGUUGGCUGGUGACGACGCAGGGAGGGGGCGGAGAUGGGGGCCGGUGGCGGCACGAGACGACCUAUCAGAAUCGUAAAACGUAGAUUCUAUAAAUCAACAACCAUAGAAUCAGGUUUCCUCAAAAAAAUCAUAGAAUUAGGGGGGUUAGUUUAGAUUGUACUCCCUUUGUUCCACAUUAAUUGUCGUUCGGACAAUUUUCCGACCAAGUGAAAAAGUAAAAUGUACUCCCUCCGUCUCAAAAUAACUGUCUUAAGCUUAGUACAACUUUAUACUAAAGCUAGUAUAAAGUUGAGACACUUAUUUUGGGACGGAGGGAGUAUCAAAUUACCCCUAAUUUGAAAACGACAUUUCAAAGCAAUUGUCCUAAUCGUCGUCCUCCCUCCACCAGGCCGCCCCUCCGCCAUAGCCGCCCGUCGCGCCCCGCUGUAGCCGCAGAGGCGCCCCUCCGUAGCAGAUCCUUGCUAGCAUCCAGUCGGCGUUGCCUUCUCGUCUCCAAUCGCCGGCGCCCCUACACCUCGAUCCCGCACCUCCAGUUGUCGGCGCCUUCCCGCCUCCCAUCCCCGGCGCCCCUACACCUCGAGACCGCACCUCCAGUCGCACGCGCCUUCCCGCCUUCAGUCGUCGGCGCCCCUACCCCUCGUGCCCGCACCUUCAGUCGUCGGCGCCUCCCCGCCUUCAGUCGCCAGUGCCCCUACACCUCGAGCCCGCACCUCUAGUCGCCGGCGCCUUCCCGCCUCCAGUCGCCGGCGCCCCUACACCUCGAGCCCGCACCUCCAGUCCCGGCACCCCUACACCCCGAGCCCGCACCUCCAGUCGUCGACGCCCCUACACCUUGAGCCCGCACCUCCAGUCGCCGACGCCCCUACAGCCUCGUGGCUCCUUCCCGUCGAGCCGGCACCUCCAGCUGUCGGCGAGUCCUGCUCGUCCUCCAGCCGCCCCUUGCAGCUUCUGCCCGUCGCGCCCCAUGGCCCUGUUGUAGGAGCAUAGGUGCCCACACCUCCAGCCGCCCGCACCUAUAGUCUCACGAAUCUUGAUCGUCCUCCUACCGCCCGUUGUACCAGCACCUCCAGCCGCCCGCACCUCUAGCCGUCAGUUGUAGCGACUCCAAGAGUUCAGAAGUGCUUGGAUUGGUCACUGUCCAUCUCUUCACCUAUGAAAACAAAAGCAAGAUUGACAAAUAAGCAGAAAUAUUGACAAAGCAAAUUCAACAGUAGGUGAG